rnacentral:lncRNA from 1 species
CGGAAACAUCAAAUAGGAAUACAUUGCCUUAAGUUCCAGGUUCUAAAUGAAUUUGAGUAAUAGAUUGACUGGGCCCACAUAGGGUAGCUUGGUCUUUCCCAUGAGAGAGACAGAGUAGGGCUCUUCAGAGUGUUUCUCUGAACUGAGCCUGUUGUUCUUCCUUUCAUGGUGACUCAUUGAUUUUCUUUUCUUCCUUCCUUACAGCAGUCUUUGGGAUUAAAAACAAAAAAUAAAAAACCAAAACCCCGGAAAUAAGGCAGAGAUCUACUCACUGAGAAUGGUUUUUGAAGAGAGAAGAAGGGACAGCCAUACAGGGCUAGUGCCAUAGGAACACAUGUUUUGAAUCUGGCUACAAGAGAUGGUUCUGGCUAGACCCUGAAGUGCUGAGAAAUGCCUAGUUGUGCAGCAACAGCCAUGUCUGAUUGCACUGGAGGAUUCUUUCUACACCAGUCUCAGCUCAAGUAUGGGGGUCUUGACAUAGAGUAUCUACAGUGCCUGGAACUGUGUCUGGAUAAAGAAGACCUGAAGUACACAUUU